UUCUGGAAGGGUGCUAGUUACUGCAGGCGCGCAGCCUAAGUCCAACCUCCUCGGUGCCUGCGCAGUCGGUACAUGUUCUUGCUGUCGCACCUGUAAACCCACGUGCUUGCUCCUGCGAUACCGCGUGCAGACUCCUAUCCGACGGGUGGAACCGGUGGCGGGCGCGUGCUAGUUGAGGGAGGGAACAUCGCCAAGAUGACGGUGCAAGAAAUUAAAGAUGUGCUGACGCAGGUGAGUCAGGAAGUGGCCGUCUUCCUUGCUAAAUUGCUGCUAGUGGAUUGCAGUGUCCGGUUUAAUCGUAAAUGUCCGCUGAAGGUGCCCAACUGGGGUCAUUUCAACAGCGUGAGGUCUUCCUGGAUUUGGGAUUUUUCGUGGAUCAUCGGUGCUUGUUUAUUACUCGACUACCCCACAUGAUUUAUGUACUGCCCCACAUGAUGCUUCCUAGUAGCAGCUUAGGAUGGAGUUCUGCACCUAACUAAAUGGCCUAUGCCUUUUGCUCUGCUGAAAACAUGCAACAGGCUGGCUACCAAGAAGAUGUUUGGGCGAUGACGAACCGCAAGCCCGCGCCGAAGAAAGCGGAUUGGAUCGCGCUGCUGGAGCGCCGGCAGCAGGCAGCGUCCUAAGAUCCCUGACCAUUAGGUUUAGGAUGUCCUACCUUUAUAUUGCGUCGAUGCAUGAUGCACUGUCCUUUCACUUGGUUGGGUUCAACAGCUGUCGUAACAACUGUUCAAGAUGUACGUUGGCCGAUGGGGUAGGGUCGUUAUAAAUUACGCAUUUUCUGAUAGCUCUCUUUCUUUCAGGUGAUUCAGCAUGCGGUUAGGGUAGCUUGUUGUUAUGGCCCAUGCCUAAUGUUUUGAGUGUAUUACCGGGCCGUGCUUUGCGUCGGAAUUGGCCUGAUGAUUCAUUACGAGCAUCGCUAUUGGGGCUUGCCUCUCCUCAGCCGUCUGUAUGGCAGCGCUUUCCCACGUGCACUGUUGUUUGCAACGCUCGCGGCGCUUGAGACGGCUUUGCUUUUCGAGUUUGCGCCGAAGUACGUGACUAUGGCACUUAAAAAUCCUACAAUAUUCCAGAUUUUUGGCUUCGUCGUGGGCUUUGCGCUGGUGUUCAGGCAAGACCAAAGACACGUGCAACAUGCAUGUGUAACGCUUUUCCGUUCCUUAUGGUAUAUGGUCUUUCCUUUUAAUAAUUCUUACACUUAAUGGUAAUACAUAUAAUCUGGUGUUCGCACCAUGUUAACCGAGUUCACCUUGUGCACUGAGCUGAACAAUCCAAGGGAGGGAGGGAUGGAUGCCCUUG
rnacentral:lncRNA from 1 species